ACCCCCACCACCUCCUCCACGAAGACCCCCUCCUGGGCCUCCUCCAGUGGCGAGACCCCCCCCCCCCGGUCCACCUUAUCAGCCACCAGCACCCGCGCCUAGACCACCACCCCAACGACCUUCCCCUCGGCCACCACCUGCAUACCAGCCCCCAGCACCACCUGUGGCCAGACCACCG
rnacentral:lncRNA from 1 species